GGCCCAACAUGGCGGCGGACUCAGACUCAUCAGGAUCCGUUCUCUAUUUAGAUUAUUCAUCUUUAUUUUCCUUGUUCUUCAGAAGCUGUUAAACCCGUGCCUGUGCCUAGAACUCUGCCGUCUGUCGACCCAUCACUGCUCAGCGCCCAGCAGCAGGGCGGCGUUCAUCUCUCUCCAGAGGACUUCGCCAAGGCGCAGAAGUACUGUAAGUACGCGGGCAGCGCCCUGCAGUACGAGGAUGUGAGCACGGCCAUCCAGAACCUCCAGAAAGCCCUGAAGCUGCUCACCACCGGCAAAGAAUGAAGCCUUUGUCCUCGUCCAUGUCAUCUCUCCAUCCUUCUCUUUCCUUCUCUCUCUCUCCACAGCAGCAGCGUCACUCUAUCUGUCACUGAUCACACACUGACGCUGAGCUCGCCGUCAGACGCCAUGAUGGAAAUCAGGCUGGAACAAUGGCUGCCUGUGUCUGACGCUGAGCCGCCCUGACUGAACAACACCACGACUUUUGACUUCUUUUAAUCAUCAGAGCCCAAAACAACAUCAGAGCUGCACUACUGGCUAACACUGGCUCAUUAAACACACCAGAAACUAGAUCCUUAUGUCCUUACUGCAGAAAUCUCAGCUAAAGCUCCACCCUCUCACUGCUGUAGGAGACGUUCUUAGAUCCACGUGGAGGUAGAGAGGGGUCUCUGACUGUAGGAGACGUUCUUAGAUCCACGUGGAGGUAGAGAGGGGUCUCUGACUGUAGGAGACGUUCUUAGAUCCACGUGGAGGUAGAGAGGGGUCUCUGACUGUAGGAGACGUUCUUAGAUCCACGUGGAGGUAGAGAGGGGUCUCUGACUGUAGGAGACGUUCUUAGAUCCACGUGGAGGUAGAGAGGGUUAACUAAGGCUGUCUGCUCACAUAUCUAAAUCAAGGCGACUUUCACACAGACUGAUGUUGAAUCUUUAACAAGCAGUGAACUUUCUGAAUCUGACUGUUGAGCAUGUGACUUCAAAGACUUCUUCACUUUCUUUAUCCAGAACAAUCCAGAAGAAAAAUUCACCCAAACGAACUUUCUUCUUCUUCUGUUUUCUUCUUUUAGGCAAUCCUUCCUGUUCUUCAUCAUUAAUUUUUCUAUUAGAAUAUAGUUAACAUGGAGGGGAAUCAAUCAGAGCUUUUGUGGAGGUUUCAGCUGUUAAUAUCUGACUCUAGAGGACUUCAGUGUCUGCAGGUGUCUUAGCGGGGUUAGUGAUUCUUCCUCAUAUUUAACGCUGAACUUUCUUUGACUUUAUUUAGAGGAUUUGAAAGGUUUUCAGGACGUCUUUACUCAGAAUCGUUUAAUUCUAAAUGUUUGAAUAAAAUAUGUGGAAAGAA